ACGAGUGGUGCAAGCGUUAUUCGGAAUAAUUGGGCGUACAGGGUGUGUAGGCGGCAUGUUAAGUCUGUUGUUAAAUUCUCCAGCCUAACUGGAGACAGGCAGCGGAAACUGGCGUGCUAGAGGGCGGAAGAGAGAAGUGGAAUUCUCGGUGUAGCGGUAAAAUGCGUAGAUAUCGGGAGGAACACCGAUGGCGAAGGCGGCUACCUGGACCAUUCCUGACGCUGAGUCACGAAAGCGUGGGGAGCAAACAG
rnacentral:rRNA from 1 species